GAGGAAUAUUGGUCAAUGGUCGAGAGACUGAACCAGCCAUGCCGCGUGCAGGAAGAAGGCCUUAUGGGUUGUAAACUGCUUUUGUACGGGAGAAAAAAGACAGUCGCGCAUUGUCAUUGAUAGUACCGUAAGAAUAAGGAUCGGCUAACUCCGUGCCAGCAGCCGCGGUAAUACGGAGGAUCCAAGCGUUAUCCGGAUUUAUUGGGUUUAAAGGGUGCGUAGGCGGAUUAUUAAGUCAGUGUUGAAAGGCUAAAGCUUAACUUUAGAAGUGGCAUUGAUACUGGUAGUCUUGAGUACAGAUGAAGUGGGCGGAAUGUGUCAUGUAGCGGUGAAAUGCAUAGAUAUGACACAGAACACCGAUUGCGAAGGCAGCUCACUAAGUUGUAACUGACGCUGAGGCACGAAAGCGUGGGGAUCAAAC
rnacentral:rRNA from 1 species